GGAUCCAGACUUUGAUCAUGGCUCAGGAUGAACGCUAGCGACAGGCUUAACACAUGCAAGUCGAGGGGCAGCAUGAUUUGUAGCAAUACAGAUUGAUGGCGACCGGCGCACGGGUGAGUAACGCGUAUGCAACUUACCUAUCAGAGGGGGAUAGCCCGGCGAAAGUCGGAUUAAUACCCAUAAAACAGGGGUCCCGCAUGGGGAUAUUUGUUAAAGAUUCAUCGCUGAUAGAUAGGCAUGCGUUCCAUUAGGCAGUUGGCGGGGUAACGGCCCACCAAACCGACGAUGGAUAGGGGUUCUGAGAGGAAGGUCCCCCACAUUGGUACUGAGACACGGACCAAACUCCUACGGGAGGCAGCAGUGAGGAAUAUUGGUCAAUGGCCGAGAGGCUGAACCAGCCAAGUCGCGUGAAGGAAGAAGGAUCUAUGGUUUGUAAACUUCUUUUAUAGGGGAAUAAAGUGAAGGACGUGUCCUUUUUUGUAUGUACCCUAUGAAUAAGCAUCGGCUAACUCCGUGCCAGCAGCCGCGGUAAUACGGAGGAUGCGAGCGUUAUCCGGAUUUAUUGGGUUUAAAGGGUGCGUAGGUGGUGAUUUAAGUCAGCGGUGAAAGUUUGUGGCUCAACCAUAAAAUUGCCGUUGAAACUGGGUUACUUGAGUGUGUUUGAGGUAGGCGGAAUGCGUGGUGUAGCGGUGAAAUGCAUAGAUAUCACGCAGAACUCCGAUUGCGAAGGCAGCUUACUAAACCAUAACUGACACUGAAGCACGAAAGCGUGGGGAUCAAACAGGAUUAGAUACCCUGGUAGUCCACCGCAGUAAACGAUGAUUACUAGGAGUUUGCGAUAACA
rnacentral:rRNA from 1 species